GGGAAAAUUAAAUGAGGAAUGGAGAGGAGAGGAGGUGGGAGGGCAACAUGUCAUGUAAACCCCGUCAUAUAAAAGAGAGGAGAGGAGAGAGAAGAGAGGAGAGGAGGGGAGGUGGAGGACAUUAUGAAGAGUGAACACUCAUAUAAAGUGAAGAAAACUCUGAACUGCCACUUCACUUAACUACAAGUGACCAAGUGAAGCACAUUCCUCCAAAGAUUUUUGUCAUGAUCAAACUGUUCAAAAACAAGAGUUUGAAAUACAAAGUGACAGA